rnacentral:lncRNA from 1 species
UCCAACUCACUAUCACAACUCCAAUGUCCCAGCCCAGAAUACUGGUAUCCCCUCCUCUACACCUUAAUCUUAACCCCACCCCCUAAUCCAACUCACCAUCACAACUCCAACGCCCCAGCCCUGACUACUGGUACCCCCUCCUCUACACCUUAAUCUUAACCCCACCCCCUAAUCAAACUCACCAUCACAACUCCAACGCCCCAGCCCUGACUACUGGUAUCCCCUCCUCUACACCUUAAUCUUAACCCCACCCCCUAAUCCAACUCACCAUCACAACUCCAACGCCCCAGCCCUGACUACUGGUACCCCCUCCUCUACACCUUAAUCUUAACCCCACCCCCUAAUCAAACUCACCAUCACAACUCCAACGCCCCAGCCCUGACUACUGGUACCCCCUCCUCUACACCUUAAUCUUAACCCCACCCCCUAAUCAAACUCACCAUCACAACUCCAACGCCCCAGCCCUGACUACUGGUACCCCCUCCUCUACACCUUAAUCUUAACCCCACCCCCUAAUCAAACUCACCAUCACAACUCCAACGCCCCAGCCCUGACUACUGGUACCCCCUCCUCUACACCUUAAUCUUAACCCCACCCCCUAAUCAAACUCACCAUCACAACUCCAACGCCCCAGCCCUGACUACUGGUACCCCCUCCUCUACACCUUAAUCUUAACCCCACCCCCUAAUCAAACUCACCAUCACAACUCCAACGCCCCAGCCCUGACUACUGGUACCCCCUCCUCUACACCUUAAUCUUAACCCCACCCCCUAAUCAAACUCACCAUCACAACUCCAACGCCCCAGCCCUGACUACUGGUACCCCCUCCUCUACACCUUAAUCUUAACCCCACCCCCUAAUCAAACUCACCAUCACAACUCCAACGCCCCAGCCCUGACUACUGGUACCCCCUCCUCUACACCUUAAUCUUAACCCCACCCCCUAAUCAAACUCACCAUCACAACUCCAACGCCCCAGCCCUGACUACUGGUACCCCCUCCUCUACACCUUAAUCUUAACCCCACCCCCUAAUCAAACUCACCAUCACAACUCCAACGCCCCAGCCCUGACUACUGGUACCCCCUCCUCUACACCUUAAUCUUAACCCCACCCCCUAAUCAAACUCACCAUCACAACUCCAACGCCCCAGCCCUGACUACUGGUACCCGCUCCUCUACACCUUAAUCUUAACCCCACCCCCUAAUCAAACUCACCAUCACAACUCCAACACCCCAGCCCUGACUACUGGUACCCCCUCCUCUACACCUUAAUGUGAAAUCUCAGAAUGGAGUUAAUGUUGGGUUUUUCAUGGUUUAAUUGUUGUUGUUACCGAUAUAUGUGUGUAAGUAAGUUUCUUAAUUAUGUUAAUACAAUUUGUUUGACAAUCUGGGGAAUGUUCAGGCAUUUUUUCCUUGACACCAAGUAUUUGUAAACCAAAUUUUAUGUCACUUUAAGAUUCCAUAGUGAAUUAUGUAUGUAUUUGAUGAUGUUUGCUCUGGCAAUCCACAUUACAUAUUAGUUAAAUAUUAUUAUCUGUUGAUAUCUAUAAGCAUUACCUAUUACCAUAUUUGCCAUAUUGAAUAUCAUGCUGUAUUUGCCAUAAUAAUGUGCACUUAGAUAUCCCUUUUAAAGGGCACUUUUCAAACACAUUAAUUGGGAACAAAUUGUAUAAAGACACGAGGUUUGCCAAGUGUCUUGUACAGUUUGAAUAUGAACUAACUCCAGUCACAAGUUGAGGGACCACUUUCUCACUCAACGUUCACAAGUCUAGAAAACCUUCCUGUUUCUGAUUGGGGCAAUGAUUCCUGUGAACUCUGGCGGGGCAAUGAUUCCUGUGAACUCUGGCGGGGCAAUGAUUCCUGUGAACUCUGGCGGGGCAAUGAUUCCUGUGAACUCUGGCGGGGCAAUGAUUCCUGUGAACUCUGGCGGGGCAAUGAUUCCUGUGAACUCUGGCGGGGCAAUGAUUCCUGUGAACUCUGGCGGGGCAAUGAUUCCUGUGAACUCUGGCGUCCCAAUGGAAGAUGACGUUACAAAGCAUUAUUAUUUGAUAUCAUAAUUAAAAGAUUGACCAAUGAAAUCACGUCCAGGGUGGUACUUACUAGUGGGUUACCAAAAAUUCCUACCAGGUUUAUCCAGUUCUAGUCUGUAUGUUGUAGCAUUUAUGAUGGCUCAACUAUGUUAAACGUUUACUGGUAGUUGCUGGCACGGGGAUUAAAAACAGCCAUAUGCUAGGUUUGUCAUAUUGUGGAACACACCACAGGUAUGUAUUGAUUACGUAUUGUUUAGUACCUGGUACAUGUAAUGUACAGUGCACUUCAACAGAGGAACAGAAUUAUUCCUUUUUUUCCUGGCAUGACUAGAGCAGUCAAGUGAAGUGAUUGAAUGUUUGAAUUGUUUACACCUUGCGGACCAGGUUCAUCAUUAUCUCAGUACACAGGGAGGCUUUUACAUAAGCCAUCUUAUCUUCCGAUUUUCCCAAAUAUGAGAUUUCUGAUUUUUCUUAAGAUUCCUUUGAACACUUAAAUAAGAUUUACUAUUUAAAUUGAAAUGUAUGAGGUUUCCUCACUUUUGAGAUUAAUAUCUAAAAGAGAAAAGGUGUUUAUGUUAAUUGUUUUUUUAACAACAAACGAUGUAAAAUGUAUUAGCUAGCUGAAACACAUGUAUGAACACAGAUGGAUGUCUAUGUAGAUAAGCGAUGUAUUUUAACCUUUUGGUUUGGUAAAUAGGUUAUAACAUUGGUUUAUAUAUUGGUUUUGUUGAAGUUCUUUAUGUUUAAGCCAAAAAUAUUUGCUUUUCUUCAUAAAUUGUAUAGUCAAUAUUUCAAUGGACCACAAAAAGAGAAUGAAAAAUAAUUUGUAGGCUAUGUAUGCUAAAUAAUCUGUUCUAACAUGUAGGAAGAAUGUACAUAUCAUUAUGUAGUGGGAUUGUUUUACACUCGACAGCAUUAAUAGUUAAUUCUGAGGAGAAACAAUUUGUACCGAUAUGUGUGGGAUGUCGUGGAAGUGUCAUUGGCUUAAAUGUGUUAGGAAUUAUAAGUAUUAAAGUAUGUAUUGCAUCAACAUGA